UCUUGGCUGAAAGAUGGCGUAAGCUAUCGCUUUUGGAUGGACCCGCGGCGUAUUAGCUAGUUGGUGAGGUAAUGGCUCACCAAGGCGAUGAUACGUAGCCGAACUGAGAGGUUGAUCGGCCACAUUGGGACUGAGACACGGCCCAAACUCCUACGGGAGGCAGCAGUAGGGAAUCUUCCACAAUGGACGCAAGUCUGAUGGAGCAACGCCGCGUGAGUGAAGAAGGCUUUCGGGUCGUAAAACUCUGUUGUUGGAGAAGAAUGGUCGGCAGAGUAACUGUUGUCGGCGUGACGGUAUCCAACCAGAAAGCCACGGCUAACUACGUGCCAGCAGCCGCGGUAAUACGUAGGUGGCAAGCGUUAUCCGGAUUUAUUGGGCGUAAAGCGAGCG
rnacentral:rRNA from 1 species